CAGCGCGCGGCGCGUCCCCCGUGAGCGGCCGCCGGGAUGGGGGCGGCGGCCGGGCGGGCCGGACCGCGGGAGCUGCUGCUGCCGCUGGCGCUGGCCGUGGCGUGCGCGGCGCGCAGCGCCGACGGGCCCAGCAACAUGUCCUACGUGAAGGAGACAGUGGACAGGCUGCUCCAUGGCUACGACAUCCGCCUCCGCCCCGACUUCGGAGGUCCGCCCGUGGACGUGGGCAUGCGGAUAGAGAUCGCCAGCAUCGACCUGGUCUCCGAAGUCAACAUGGACUACACCCUGACCAUGUACUUUCAGCAGUCCUGGAGGGAUAAAAGGCUCUCCUAUUCUGGAAUACCUUUGAACCUAACUCUGGACAACAGAGUGGCUGACCAGCUCUGGGUGCCGGACACAUAUUUCCAGAAUGACAAGAAAUCAUUUGUCCAUGGGGUGACAGUGAAAAACCGAAUGAUUCGACUCCAUCCAGAUGGGACAGUCCUUUAUGGCCUACGGUUGAGCUGGUGUGCCAUGUUUUCUCCGGGGACAAGGCAGCUCUUUAGAUGCAUCUGGAUCACAACAACAGCUGCUUGCAUGAUGGACCUACGCAGAUAUCCUCUGGAUGAACAAAACUGCACACUAGAAAUUGAAAGUUAUGGAUACACUACUGAUGAUAUUGAAUUUUACUGGAAUGGAGGAGAGUCGGCAGUAACAGGAGUUAAUAACAUUGAGCUCCCACAAUUUUCUAUCGUUGAUUACAAGAUGGUAUCAAAGAGAGUGGAAUUUACAACAGGAGCAUAUCCUCGAUUAUCACUUAGCUUCCGGCUUAAAAGAAAUAUUGGAUACUUCAUUUUGCAAACUUAUAUGCCUUCCACGCUAAUCACAAUUCUUUCGUGGGUAUCUUUUUGGAUCAAUUAUGAUGCCUCUGCAGCCAGAGUUGCUCUAGGAAUCACAACUGUGCUGACCAUGACCACCAUCAGCACCCACCUCAGGGAGACCUUGCCAAAGAUUCCCUAUGUCAAGGCAAUAGAUAUUUACUUGAUGGGAUGCUUUGUGUUUGUGUUCCUGGCCUUGCUGGAAUAUGCCCUUGUAAACUACAUAUUCUUUGGGAAAGGACCUCAACAUCAAAAAAAGACAGCAGGCAGGGCAGGACGUGCUCCAGGCGAGAAGAGCAGACUGGAAACAAAUAGAGUCCAGGUAAAACAUCCAAGCUAACUUCUCAAUCAUUAUUUCUACUGUGACAAUGUUGAUGUAUAUGAUGAUAGAGAUAAAUGCAGAUGAAACACGUGCAAAAGCAUUUAAGAUUGCCUAAAGAAAAAUUGUAUUUUAAGAGAAUACAGCAAUGUAUGGUCUGUUCCAUCUUCAAUUGAAAACAUAGUAAGAAACCACAUAAAAUGCAAAUGAGUAUUCAGGAUACACAGUUCUUUGCAGCAGAGAAGGAAUACAAGGGUACAAGGGUACAAGGAAGUUAAAUAUUUACUACUUCAUCUGUAUAUUUCUUUGAUAUAGAAGGUGGUAUAGAAGAAAUGUUUAUAAUAAAGUUCCUCUUUACACACAGAAACUUCAUCAAAAACAAAAAGCAAAGACAGACUCUGUUGCUUCAGUGAGCCCUGAAUGAAGUCCACAUGACAGAGCUUCCAGGAACACAAGGAUGCCGCUGCUAGGUUAUAACAGCUUUCACAUGUCAGGAUUUUUCUUUCAGCUAAAUUCAAGCAGACCUCAAUUACCCUCUCUUAAAAAAAAUAAGCCAGAAAAGGUCUAGGAAGUAAUACUACGGACUUUUUUUUUUUUACAGGGACAAUUUUAAUUUUGCAAUACAUCACUGAGCACUUGCAAACUGCUAUAAACCUAUUUCAACUUUUCCCAGUUUUUCAGAAAUAAACCCUUCAAAGCCUCAGGUGUAUUUGGCCCAGUCUGACUCAGAGGAAAAUACAUAUUCUAAUGAGCCAAAAAUCUUCUUCCUUUCUCUGCUUUUCUUACAAUAUAUUACAUCCAAGUAUUAACGAGAUCUUACCCAGGCUGUCCUAUAAACUUCUGUACUGUUGUGGCCUGAGGCAAUAACAUUUGGUCAAAACUUUAUUCGAGCCCUCUGUUCAGCUGGAAAAAUGAGACCGACACAUAAAACUCUAACAGGUAAGACCGUAUCUUGAUGGAUGGUCGCAAUUUCACAUACAUAUCAGAAAGUGUGUUUCAGAAAUUCUGUGAUGUCUUAUUAGUUCUAAAUUUGUGUGUCUGGUGUCCCAGCAGCCACACCACUACAGCUAAGCAUCAUUAACAAAGCUGUCAUGUUCUCAGCCUCAGUGAACUCAUGAGCCCAUUAAAAGUCCUUACUCGCAUUUGCCUCCUGUCCCCUUGUAUAGGAGAUGCUUUAUUACAAUGGGGGCACAAUAUCAGUUCAGGCAACCAUCAGUCUCCAAGGUCCCACAAAGUACUGUCUUCCACAGAGCAGAGGAGAUAAGCCACCCUGUUAUGGAUUGUUGCACGCAGACACUGUCUAUGCUUUUCUAUGGCAAAAAAGGAAGGGAAAAAACCCAACAAAACUCACAAACAGACCAGCCACCUCAACAGCUCCUGAGAUAACCCAGCCUAGGUGAGAAGCAGCACAGCAAGGAUUCAGGAUGAAGAGGGAAUCAAUGCUUCUUCAGAGGUCAGCCUUGUCCCCAUGGGCCCCAGUGCACUGAACUGAGAAAAGGAUGAGAAAGUGUAAAGGAUAAGAGUGCCGGAACAAUGUACAUGGCUGAAGAAGUGGGACACAGUAAGGUUAUGUGAAAACAGCUUUGAGAUCCUCUCCACCGUGUUUUGAGAUUUUUCACUGGUGUUAUGAUGUCUGUACCAGAGCAGGGGAAAGUUUUUUUGGAGCAUAAAAGUACAGUUGUAAGUAUAUAUAGCUAUAGGAUAAUUUUUUCCCUUCUGCUCAUGACCCACAUCACUUAUCCAUACAGAGACUUCUAACCAAUAGAUGAUAUGUAACAGUGCUUCAUCUCUUUGUGCCAGGUGAAGAUAUUAAUCAUUUCCAUCUGAUAUGCAACUCCCAUGAGUAAAAGAGUUCAAAUUCCUUCACCAGAUAACAAAAGCAUUAGAUGUGUGAGCAACACUCAGCAAACUGACCAUGAUAUUAACAGUAUAGAGAAGACCAGAUGAACAAUGAAACUGAACUGCUGUUUCCUAUGUGGCUGUUCCUUUCUCUACAGACUGAAGAAGGUGGAAAUAGUGUCUUUCCAGUUUCACAAUUUAUGCCAUUUUAAUUUCUAAUAUACAAAAAAUAUUAAUUUGUAGUAAACAAUAUUUCUGUUUCUCUGAAUAAAGCAUAAAGACUGUU